rnacentral:rRNA from 1 species
UUAGGAAUAUUCGUCAAUGGGGGGAACCCUGAACGAGCAAUGCCGCGUGAACGAAGAAGGUCCUCUGGAUUGUAAAGUUCUGUUGUAUGGAGAGAACGUUAUGAAUAGGAAAUGAUUCAUAAGUGACGGUACCAUAUAAGAAAGCCACGGCUAACUACGUGCCAGCAGCCGCGGUAAUACGUAGGUGGCGAGCGUUAUCCGGAUUUAUUGGGCGUAAAGCGUCCGCAGCCGGUAAAGUAAGUAUAGAAUAAAAGCCCGAGGCUUAACCUCGGUUCGUUCUAUAAACUGCUAUACUCGAGUGUGGUAGAGGCAAGUGGAAUUUCUAGUGUAGCGGUAGAAUGCGUAGAUAUUAGAAGGAACACCAGUGGCGAAGGCGACUUGCUGGGCCAUCACUGACGGUCAGGGACGAAAGCGUGGGGAGCGAAUAGG